AUCUUUUUGUGGUCCCAAGUAUGAUGACUGGGUUUUCAUGCUAAUGUGUAAAAUGUGCUUCCCUUAAAACUUGUUACUAUGUGGACAUUUAUCAGUACGACU